AAAAACCUUAACACCUCUCAUUCUGAUUCCUUUUUCACGUGCAUGAAAUUUGAAAUAAUGUCUGAUAUGUGUAUGUAAAUGGUGUUUGUGCAACAAUCGUAAUACGUUGAGCAGGGACUGAAUCCUCUAAUGUCUGUCUUCGCUAUAUUGUUGGCAGUGCGACAUAUGCUGCAAGAUAAGAUAAUACACUGCUGAAUUUUUCGCUUACCCUUCCAACAUUUGAUUUCUUUGAGAUUGUACAUUACUUAAUUUUAUUAUAUUCUCAAGUAACAAGUUCCAGACAUUUCAUAUUUAUUUUUGAUCUUGUGUUUUCUGUUCUGUGGUAUACUUGUUAGCAGCUUAAAGUGGUCGAAGAUAAGACCCAAUCUGCCAUGUGCUCCUUGAUACUUUUGUAUCCUUUAUUGCAUGUCUACACGAGAGUUUCCAUAUUCGUAUUAUAUUAUAAUUCUUUCUGGUAUUGUGUGCCAUCCAUCUUGAACAUAAAGAAAGAUCUGAGUAGGUAGAUAUCACUGUAUAUUAUAUUAAGGGAAAAUUUCAUAACUAAGAAAUUAAUUAUGGCAUAUUUCAAAAACAAGAAAACAAGUUUCAAGUUUCAAAAAUCAGAUUUUUAUUAAAAAUUAUUUAUAAUUUAAUUAAUUUAGUAAUUUAAUAUAUUUAAGUCACUGAUUUAUAUAAUUUGAUCACAAAUUAACGAUUUAAUUCAUCACUUAUUAUUUUUUUGUCACAAAUCAGAAAUUUUAUGUCACAAAUUAUUUUACGGUUACAAUUCAAAAAUUUUAUAGGUCACAGUUUGUUCAUUGGUCACAAAUCGAAAAUUUAUACGCUACAAUUUAUUUAUAGGUCACAGAUCUUAAAUACUAUAGAUCACAAAUUAUUAAUUUUUUAGGUCACAAAUUAACAAUUGAAUUCAUCACUUAUUAUUUUUUUUGUCACAAAUCAGAAGUUUUAUGUUACAAAUUAUUUUACGGUCACAAUUUAAAAAUUUUAUAGGUCACAAUUUGUUCAUUGGUCACAAAUUAUUAAUUUUUUAGGUCACAAAUUAACAAUUUAAUUCAUCACUUAUUAUUUUUUGGUCACAAAUCAAAAAUUUUAUGUCACAAAUUAUUUUACGGUUACAAAUUCAAAAAUUAUAAUUUAUUUAUAGGUCACAAAUCAUAAAUACUAUAGGUCACAAUUUAUCUUAUUGGUCACGUAUUAUUUAUUAGUCACGUAUUAACCAAUUUAAUGAUCACAAUUAACAAAUUAAUCUGUGACCACCACCAAACAAUCACCCUCCAAACACCUCUGCCUGCACUAUCAUCACCCUACAUCAAACACCACGACCAAAAACAAAUCAACACAUCCGAGACCAUAACCACCAACAGUUCACUGUCACCGCCGCACCCACUACCACGACCACUGUCUCUACCUCCACGACCACCGUACCACACAACAGCACCACCAGCAAAACCAAAACCACCACAACCACACGCACCGCCCCCACCAGAAAAAAUCCCCAAUCUGCCACUGGACUCUACCACCAUCCCACCGCCCGUAUCAACAACCGCCACCACUCGUAUCACCAAUGAAACACUGCCGCCAAUGCCAAAUCACUGCACGACCACCACGAGACACCACAAAACGGUGAGAAAAACCACCUGUAAACACCACUAUACCACAAACACCAUCACUGCCAUGCGCAUGGCAGCAGCCAGAUCUAUAGCUGGAGUUCCAUUUAAGGUGGGCAAGCAACGAACUGAGAGCAGUGGGAUCGACCAAAUCUGUGGCACCACAACCACGAUCUGCAAUGGCGAAGAAAGAAAUAGGAUAUUGACGAUGGUGCUGCGUGCGGUGGAGAGAGAGACGGCCAGUGGCUUGACGUGCUUUUAGGAGACUAUGACCAUCGUCAAUCGGUGAAGGCGCAGAGAGAGACGGCGUCAUCUCCACCUGAAGAGAGAGAAAGGAGAGAAUGAGGCGAGAGAGAGAGAGAGUUAGGGUUUGUGAGUAAAAUUAUUUAUUUUAUAAAAUAUUAAUUAGAAUAAAAUUUCUGAUUUUUGAAAGGUUGAACUUGCCCCCCGAUUUUAGAAUUGAGAAUUUUAAUGAUAGGGUUUCGUGUAAUUACCACUUAUAUUAAGCCCCUGUUUGGGCUCCACUUUUUCAAAAAAAAAAAAAAUUUCCCGAAACUGAGUUUUAACCACACGUUCUUUCAUAAAAUAAUAUUACAUGUAAACCCAAAAUAUUUUCUUAUUUUGUAACCACACAUUCUUCAAAAAUCACCAUUCCUAAAAUACUUUUAUCUCAAAUUCUAAUUAAAAUGGAGCCAAACAAGGGCUAAGUGUUCGCUACUUCCUUAAUUUCUUGGUCAGAUAAUGAUUCAAUUUAUCUAUUACGGCUAUCGAUCAUCCAAAGAUGUUGAGAAGAAAUAUAGCUCGAAUGGACAAUGAUAAACAACACAAUUAGAGGUAAUUUGUGCACCUCUUCAAUUGUGUUGUCUGACAAUAUAUCGUCUAUUUGUAAGGGAAAAAGAUAUAUAUACACCCAAUUCCUUACUGAAUGUUUUACACUCUUUCA
rnacentral:lncRNA from 1 species